rnacentral:sRNA from 1 species
UCAAAUGGAUAGCAAUCUAAGUUCGCGACGUCCUACGGCUACGAUUGCAUGACCCACAUCCCGUGGA